CUCUGCCUCCUACAAGCGUUUGCUGGGCGGGUGCGUUUCCUGAGGGGCCGCGCGGUGCUUGAGGUCACGGAACGUCUGUCCGCGCUGGUGGCCUCCGUGUACCCCCAGAAGCCCCAGGCCGUGGAGCGCCAUGUCCUUCCAGUCCUCUGGUGUUUCCUGGGCAACAUGACUGGGAACAGUGUCCUGCCCGGGCACGGCGGGAACGUCCGCACAGUGGCGCGUCGGCUGUCCAGAAGCCUCCAGGAGCACAUGGGCUCCCGGCUGCAGGACCUGGCUGCUGGCCAGCCACGGCAGGUCCUCAGAAUGCUCCAGGACCUCCUAGACGCAGCAUCCCCGUGAGGCAGCCCCAACCAACGUCACCGACAGAGGGAUGGCAUCGGACAGCAAGACAACGGGCAGCUCACGCCCCUUUCAACCGGCUGAGAGACAGACCUGAAGCGGGCAGUCGUUAUUUCUUACUUUAUUUUAUUUUUAUGAUGGAGUCAUCUCCAGGUCUACUUUCUCUUAGAGUUCCAGAUGUACAUAGUAUAUUUUGAAGUAGAAAUAAAAGAAGUACUUAUUUUUCUAA